UUCAGAACUGAUCUAUAAAGAAGUUGUGGACUGGGAGGAGAGGAAUAAGAAUGGUGUUAUUAAGGAACAGCCCUUACUUUCAGAUGCAGCAGUGAAUAGCAACAACAGCCCCUCUCAGUCUUCCUCCAUCAAUGACAUUUCAUCCAUGUCAACAGAGCAGACCUUGGCUUCCGAUACUGACAGCAGCCUGGAUGCUUCAGCAGGACCACUUGAUGGUUGCAGGUGAUCAGCCUCCGAACAUGAGCAAUAUCAGAAAGUAGCUACUGCUGCUAUUCUCAACCUGAGUUGCUUUUAAAUUAAGAAAACCAUGUAAAGAAGUUAUAUCUAUUGCAUGUACUGCAAACACAAUGCCUAUGCUUUACUUGGUAAUUUAUGAUUGCCUGGCUUAUGUUAAAAAUGACAGCCUAGGAAAAUUUGAAAAGGGAAAUUAUAAUGGAAUGUGUAUUUGUGCAAACUGCUCCCAGCUCCAAACUCAGGUGAGCACAACUUGGAAAAAUGAAAACCAUGUGAGAGCAAAAUAUGAAGAUAUACGUAGCAGUUUUGUUUUCUUGUCGUCGUUUCUCACUUUUUUUUGUUGAAGAUUCCUUAUGUACAUUCCAAAAAUCUGUGAGAGAAACAACUGACAGCACUUUUUAAUUUCAAAACAUAAUUUUUUUGACAUAUCUAUGAGGUAAGUUUGCCACAUUGUGAAUUUCAAAUUGUAUCUGAAAUAGAGAACUUAGUAUUUUGUUAUUAUCAUCUAACUAUUGUUAUGGUUUCCAAUUACUUCUAAAAUGACAAUUAAUAGUAACAAGCAGGUGUGAUGUUGGUCAGAGAUUUUGAGAAACUUUAUAAAGAUCUAGUUUAGUAGUAUUUUGGUCUACAAUAUGUUCUUCCUUUUGUAAAUGACUAAUUUUCAGGGUGAUCAGAUCAGGAUUAUCAAUAGAAUGAUCUGCCUUAAAUUUAUCAUUUGAGAUUUUUUUUAGCUGACCAAGAAGCAUAAUUAUUAGAAAAGAGAACAAGGGGAAAAGGAUUUUUGAAGUUUUAAUUUGGUAAUUGUCGAGCUUGCAGAAUGUCAUAUUGGAAUUGAUGGUUUGGAACUGUUGUGCUGUAAGGUUUAAAAGUAGGCUAUUUAGGGUAGCAUUUUGCAAAACUUUGAAUUCAUAAGUAAACCCAUUUUGAUACUAUUUUAUGUGCCUUGUAAAUGUUUAAAUGCUUGCAUAUAAGCUAGUUGUUGCCCCCAAAAUUCUGAUGAUUGGGAUAUCUUCACUGUAAAUUGUGCUAGAAGAAACCAGCUGCUUAAUCAAAAAUAGUUUUGUUAAAAUCCAUUUUUCACAAUGUCAAGUAGCAAUGAUAGACCAGUAUGCCACAUAGCAGCCUGUUGAAGAGUGAGCUGAACAGCUAUUUAGUGAUGUUUAUGUUUGGCGUAAUGGCAGUUUUAGGCUAAUCAGUUCUUGUUAUAACUUGUCUUUUCCAGUUGCAAAAUACAAUUUAAGUCACUGCCACAUAGUUAUGACCAAAGUUUGGACAACAGCUUUUAAAACCUGCUUUAGAUAAAGUUAGUUGUAAUCGAAGGAAUGUCUAACACUCUUGCUAUGUGCAAUCAAACAUUCAUGGCUCACAAAUUACCUUUCGAGCUUUUACAUUGGGAUUGUUUUGUUUUGGGUGGUGAUGAUGCAGAGAGAGAACCUGGGGUGCAUUGGAACCUCCUGUCCUAUAAUGCUGUACUUUUGUGUGUCCUGGGAUCAGGCUGUUUAGCCUAUUUUGGUCAGGGGUUGUGCCCAUUUGAAGGGAUAGGAAUUUGUAGAUAUUGUAGCAUCAUCAAACCUCUGGGCUGUGUCUCAAACUGUUCUGAAAAGAAAAAGCCAUGCACCCCUGUCCUUAAUCAGUGUUGACAUCACAAUCAGUUGUGCUAUAAUAAAAUGUACUCUACAAACCAGUCUUUGAAUGUGGAAAUCUCUCCCACACCUGAACCCUAGCAUUGCUGGAUGGCAGAUGCACAUUGUUAACCUUGUACUAUUUCCCUAAAAUUAGGGAAAUUGUGAUAUAAUGUCCCUAUAGACAUCAAAAAAAUGCGUUGUCUGCCGGUAAUGAAUGGGUAUAUUGAAUCCACCCCACCAAUGUGUGCAGAAAUACCCAAUUGCUCCAGAAAGUGUUGGAUCUGUGGCAGGUCAAGUUUUCCAUUCCUUAUACAUUUUGCCACACAACCACCCUUGAAUAUCCUAGAUCUUUGUAUUUAAAUAUUAAUUAUUCUGAAAUAAAGGCACAGACACCUAAACCAAGUCUUACAUUUCCACAUGCUUUAUUUGACCUCUCUUCCACAGAGAAUCACUAUGCUUUCUAUCAAACCUGGAAUUCUUAAUUACGGUUAAAGAACAUGUAUAGACUAUAUUUCUUUUUUUCUUUAGUUUUCCCACAUUUGAUGUAUUUUUUUGUUCUUUGUCCAGAAAUCACAGUAUAGAACUGAUGAAAUGGAUUUGUGUGUACACUGAAGGAGAAAAUAUGCUUGAGAAAUUGUAAAGCUGUAGAAUCAGAUGAUUGAGGUUUUCAGUUGCAGAGAUGACAUAAAAGGUACAAGGAUUGUCUUCUUCAGUGAAUUUAACUAUUUAGGUUUUGUGCAUAAUUCUCAAUUUAUUUGAAUUAAAUGUAGAAAAGUAGAUUCAUGCUCAAUAAAUCUCAAGCCAUAUUAGAGUUUUCAGUGAAGCCUUUUCACAAGUCAACUUGCAAAUAAAUUUCAGAAUAGAAUAGACUGAAAGUUAUCAGUAUUUAAAACAUUGACUUCACUGUAAAAACAAUGACUUAUAGAAAGUUUAAUUUACCGAAAACUGACUAUUCCUGCAAAUAUCAAUAUGUUUCAAAUUGUUUCUGCAAACUUAAUUUGUGCAUUAAUUUUGGUAAGAGAAAAUGUUAUAUUAUGCAUUACAACAAAACUUAAUCCAGAAAUAAUUGUUUUUAUAUAUAGGACAAUUUUGAAUGUUGAGCUACUAUAAUCUGGUUUAUGCCUUUGUCUGCAAAUUUGCUGACAUAAAAUUAUACUUAGUUCUCUUGGAUUUUAGCCAUAAAGGGAAUAAUUUGCCCUCACUUCCUGUGGUAAAUUGCCUCUUUCAUGGAGAUGAUGUAAUUGUGCAAUUAUGUGAGAUAUAAUCUUUUAUAAUCUAGAUUUACAAAGAAUACACAUCACUGGAAACUGACCAUUUCACCUAACCAGUCCAUGGCAUAUUAAUGCUCCACUAUAGCCUAGUUCCAAGUCACAUUGUUUGGAAACAAGAAAAUGAGAAAAGAGUCUGGAUAAGGUUGUACUGAAAUAGAAUGAUGUAAACAUUUCUUUGCACAGUGCCUUGUGUUACCAAAUAUUUCAAACGGUUUCAAUUACAUGGAUUAUGUAGACCAAUGUAAAUAAUUAUGUAGACCAGUAUUGACUUUGGCCUAUUUUACAGUGAACUACAUGUAACUUCUGUUACUAACCGCUCUCCUCAGUUGACUGUAGACAAGAGCUCAGUGGCAAUAAGCAAUCUUUCGGCUGAAAUUUUGUUGGAGUUAGUUGGAGUUGUAUUUUCCAAGUAACUGGAUUUUGUAUUUUGCCUCAGCUACCUUACUAAGAAUGUGUAGCAAAUAACCCAAACCCAAGAAUGAAAAUGUGUUGAACAUAUCUAGAAAAUUCGGCACAAAAUCUGUGGAAAGAAGUGACAAGUUAUCAUUUAAUGUGAAGCAUUAGCAUCAGAUGUGUGUGUUUGACUUGAAGGGUUAUGUCUGAUGUGUUAACUUGCCGCUUUGUUUCCAUAACAGUUCGGUGCUUCAUAAUACUAUCAUGUACCGAAUUUUGUUUUGGAUUUUUGUAACACUGGUUGCAACUUCACAGUUGGGAAAUAACAGUAGCAUCAAGACCUGACAUUUGUGAAGUUCUGUUCGUUAAUGCUCUAAAUCAUUUCAUUUGAGCAAACAUAAUAUUGACUGAAAAGACUACUGAGUACGUACAGCAUUUUCUGUUUUUGUUUCAAAUUUCAGUUUGUAGUAUAUUCCCCCAAAAAUAUUACAACAGAUUUGCCCUCUUUUGCAACAAAUUGUGGCAUUCAGUAAUCAUUACUGCUCACCUGGAAAGAGUAAGGGGCUUUACAGUCUGGUUUCUACUUUUCAAACAUUCAACUGAUUGGAAUGUUGCAAAGUAGAGUGGCUCAGAGGCAUUGUUGUGAUGCGUUGGAAUAGGUUGUGUCUUUAAGCUCAAUGGUGGUAUUAUUCGUGGUAUAAUCAUUGGCUGUCUAAACCUUACCUGUGAUUGCACAAACUGCACACUAAGGUGGUUUGCACUGAAAUCGUUCAAUCAAAAGAUCCAGCAAUUGUUUGGGAUGGUUAUUUUAAAGGAGUGAUAAAACUAAAUGUAAAGCUUUUAAAUGUUUGUAGUUACUUUAGCUCUGUAUGUAUAUGUUUGGUCUCUGUGAGCAUCAGGGCUCAAUGCUAAGUUAGAGCAGAAUAACAUCUGUAUUGUCACUUUCAAGCCUAGUGCUGCAUAAUGUUUCCAUGUUCCAAAUAGGGUUGUGGAUUCCAUGGCACUGCUAUUCUGCUCCAUGUCACAGUUAUCAAAUGUCAGUAGCGCCAAGACCUGAUAUUUGUGAAAUCCCCUUUUCUGUUAAUGCUCUGAAUCAUUUCCAUUGAGUAAACAAUGUUGACUGAAAAGGGCUGCUGUUAAGUACCGGUAUCCUGAAGCUGUUAAUGUUACAAGUGCUUUUAAAGUAGUUACUUGAAAACGUACUUGCAACCUAACCAGCUAUGUUUCAUCAUCUGCCCGUUACAUGGUGUUUGUGCAAUAAGAGAUCUUGUAUAUAAAGAUUGUUGCCAAUUGACAUUCAUGCUGGAUUUUUAUUUUGAUCUCAAGUUUGACAUUAGAUGGUGCUUUUUUGUACUGACAACAGUCCUGCUUUUUUUAAACAGAUUUUUAUAGAUUACAUUGUUUUUAAGGGAACUAUUUUGAUCAGCUAACGUCAACUGCUCCAGGAUAUAGAAUGGUUUAAGAUAAAUCUGAAGGUUUUCAAAAUGCGAUUUUAUCUGAUAAACCUCACUACAGAUGAUACAUGUGUGAAUGCAAAUAAAGCUGUGGUCUUCAAAAA